rnacentral:rRNA from 1 species
UGCCAGACUCCUACGGGAGGCAGCAGUGGGGAAUAUUGCACAAUGGGGGAAACCCUGAUGCAGCAACGCCGCGUGAGUGAAGAAGUAUUUCGGUAUGUAAAGCUCUAUCAGCAGGGAAGAAGAUGACGGUACCUGAGUAAGAAGCCCCGGCUAACUACGUGCCAGCAGCCGCGGUAAUACGUAGGGGGCAAGCGUUAUCCGGAUUUACUGGGUGUAAAGGGAGCGUAGACGGUGAGACAAGUCUGAAGUGAAAGCCCGGGGCUCAACCCCGGGACUGCUUUGGAAACUGCCUGACUGGAGUGCUGGAGAGGCAAGCGGAAUUCCUAGUGUAGCGGUGAAAUGCGUAGAUAUUAGGAGGAACACCAGUGGCGAAGGCGACUUUCUGGACUGUACCUGACGCUGAGGCGCGAAAGCGUGGGUAGCGAACGGGAUUAGAUACCCGAGUACC